rnacentral:rRNA from 1 species
CGUAAGUGUUUUAGGGCGCAUGGUGGAUGCCUUGGCAUUAGGAGCUGAUGAAGGACGUGGGAAUCUGCGAUAAGCCUGGUGGAGCUGAUAACCGAGUGUUGAGGCCAGGAUCUCCGAAUGGGGAAACCCGGCAUGCUGUUGUGGUGUGUCACCAGUCGCUGAAUGAAAUAGGCGGUUGGGGGGAACGUCGGGAAGUGAAACAUCUCAGUACCGACAGGAAGAGAAAACAAUAGUGAUUGCGUGAGUAGUGGCGAGCGAAAGCGUAUGGGGCUAAACCGGUGGCGUGUGAUACCUGGUAGGGGUUGCGUUGCCGGGGUUGUGAGACCCAAUAUCCCAGGACUACCAUUCUGGGCGGUUGAGGUGCGGGCGUAUAGACGAACAGUGUUGAGUCACUGACCGUAGGGGGUGUGAGUCCCGUAGUUGUAAUGCGUUCCGCCGGCUGUUUUGGUGUUCUCGAGUAGCACGCGGCUCGAGGAAUCGUGUGUGAAUCUGCCAGGACCAUCUGGUAAGCCUGAAUACUCCCUAAUGACCGAUAGUGAAUCAGUACCGUGAGGGAAUGGUGAAAAGUACCCCGGGAGGGGAGUGAAAUAGUACCUGAAACCAUGUGCCUACAAUCCGUCAAAGCAUCUUUUGGGGUGUGAUGGCGUGCCUUUUGAAGAAUGAGCCUGCGAGUUAGUGCUCAGUAGCGAGGUUAACCCGUGUGGGGCAGCCGUAGCGAAAGCGAGUCUGAAUAGGGCGUUUAGUUGCUGGGUCUAGACCCGAAGCGGAGUGAUCUACCCAUGGCCAGGGUGAAGCGUGUGUAAGAGCACGUGGAGGCCCGAACCCACCUAGGUUGAAAACUGGGGGGAUGAGCUGUGGGUAGGGGUGAAAGGCCAAUCAAACUCUGUGAUAGCUGGUUCUCCCCGAAAUGCAUUUAGGUGCAGCGUUGCGUGUUUCGUCCUGGAGGUAGAGCUACUGGAUGGCUGAUGGGCCCUACAAGGUUACUGACGUCAGCUAAACUCCGAAUGCCAGUGACGUGAGAGCGUAGCAGUGAGACGGUGGGGGAUAAGCUUCAUCGUCGAGAGGGAAACAGCCCAGACCACCGGUUAAGGCCCCUAAGCGUGUGCUAAGUGGGAAAGGAUGUGGAGUUGCUUAGACAACCAGGAGGUUGGCUUAGAAGCAGCCACCCUUGAAAGAGUGCGUAAUAGCUCACUGGUCAAGUGAUUCCGCGCCGACAAUGUAGCGGGGCUCAAGCACACCGCCGAAACCGUGGCAAUCAGGUUUUCCUGGUUGGGUAGGGGAGCGUCGUCUAUUGGGUGAAGCCAGGUUGUAAGAGCUGGUGGACGGUAGACGAGUGAGAAUGCAGGCAUGAGUAGCGAAAGUCAUGUGAGAAACAUGGCCGCCGAAUGAGCAAGGGUUCCAGGGUCAAGCUAAUCUGCCCUGGGUUAGUCGGGGCCUAAGGCGAGGCCGACAGGCGUAGUCGAUGGAUAACGGGUUGAUAUUCCCGUACCGGCGAACAACCGCCCCAAGCAAACCUGAGAUACUAACCACCCGAACCCAGCCUAAGUUCACUUCGGUGAACAGGGCUGGUCUAGCGUGGGACCUGAUCGGGGGCGUUUAGCGUAGUAACAGGUGUGACGCAGGAAGGUAGCCGGGCCCAGCGAUGGUUGUCUGGGUCUAAGAAUGUAGGCUGACUCCUAGGCAAAUCCGGGAGUCGUUGAGGCUGAGAUUUGAUGGGCUCCACCUUUUGGGUGGGGAUCCGGUGAUCCUAUGCUGCCAAGAAAAGCAUCGACGCGAGGUUGUUGUGCCGCCCGUACCCGAAACCGACACAGGUGCUCAGGUAGAGAAUACUAAGGCGAUCGAGAGAAUCACGGUUAAGGAACUCGGCAAAAUGCCCCCGUAACUUCGGGAGAAGGGGGGCCACCCUGGUGAUCAACCCUUGCGGUUGUGAGCUGGUGGUGGCCGCAGAGACCAGGGGGGUCCGACUGUUUACUAAAAACACAGGUCCGUGCGAAGUCGUAAGACGAGGUAUACGGACUGACUCCUGCCCGGUGCCGGAAGGUUAAGAGGAGCUGUUAGCCAC